CCCAGACUCCUACGGGAGGCAGCAGUGGGGAAUAUUGCACAAUGGGCGCAAGCCUGAUGCAGCCAUGCCGCGUGUAUGAAGAAGGCCUUCGGGUUGUAAAGUACUUUCAGCGGGGAGGAAGGUGCUGAGGUUAAUAACCUCAGCAAUUGACGUUACCCGCAGAAGAAGCACCGGCUAACUCCGUGCCAGCAGCCGCGGUAAUACGGAGGGUGCAAGCGUUAAUCGGAAUUACUGGGCGUAAAGCGCACGCAGGCGGUUGAUUGAGUCAGAUGUGAAAUCCCCGGGCUUAACCCGGGAAUUGCAUCUGAUACUGGUCAGCUAGAGUCUUGUAGAGGGGGGUAGAAUUCCAUGUGUAGCGGUGAAAUGCGUAGAGAUGUGGAGGAAUACCGGUGGCGAAGGCGGCCCCCUGGAC
rnacentral:rRNA from 1 species